CCUACGGGAGGCAGCAGUAGGGAAUUUUCCGCAAUGGGCGAAAGCCUGACGGAGCAAUACCGCGUGAGGGAUGACGGCCUGUGGGUUGUAAACCUCUUUUCUCAAGGAAGAAGUUCUGACGGUACUUGAGGAAUAAGCAUCGGCUAACUCUGUGCCAGCAGCCGCGGUAAUACAGAGGAUGCAAGCGUUAUCCGGAAUCACUGGGCAUAAAGCGUCUGUAGGUUGUUUAGUAAGUCUGCUGUUAAAGACUGGGGCUUAACCCCAGAAAAGCAGUGGAAACUGCUAGACUCGAGUGUGGUAGAGGUAGAGGGAAUUCCUAGUGUAGCGGUGAAAUGCGUAGAUAUUAGGAAGAACACCAAUGGCGAAGGCACUCUACUGGGCCAUAACUGACACUCAGAGACGACAGCUAGGGGAGCAAACGGGAUUAGAUACCCCGGUAGUCCUAGCCGUAAACGAUGGAUACUAGAUGUUGCACGUAUUAACCCGUGCAGUAUCGUAGCUAAGGCGUUAAGUAUCCCGCCUGGGAAGUACGCUCGCAAGAGUGAAACUCAAAUGAAAUUGACGG
rnacentral:rRNA from 1 species